ACUCAUCUUCUCCUGCCCUGGCACAUCAAAACUCCAGGUUCUCUGAUCUUUGAACACUGGGACUUAAUCCAGCAUCCCCUUACUGCCUGAAGUUCUCAGGACUUUGGACUUGGACUGAACGAUGCUACCAGCUUCCCUGGCUUUCCAGCUUGUAGAUGGCGUAUCAUGGAAUUUCUCAGUCUCCAAAGUAAUGUGAGCCAAUUCCUAUAAUAACUCUCUUCUCUAUCUAAUCUAUUAAUAUUUACAUUUCUUAUUGUUUUUCAUUUACCUGGAGAACCCUAAUAAAACUUCCUGUUGCAUACCUUUAAUGUCAUCAUCAUUAUCUCAGUCCAAAAUUCUCCUUGCAGUCACUGGAAGUAAAAUAUUAAUAUCACCCAUAUUUUAAAUUCAAACUCAAAUCCUGCUUUUAAUAUAUUAUUAGUCAGCCAAAAUGUUGCAUUCUCUCUCUGAAUUUCUAAGGAGUCUAUAAUACUAGUUUCUACAUAUAAUCAAAUAUUGUUUUGUUCUUUCGGUGUGGAAUAUGUACAUGUUUUAUCUCCUACAGAAAUUUGUAAAUUUUCACAAGCAAGAAUCUUCUUCUACUUCUUUAACCUCACAAUGCAUAGUAAGUACUUAUUGUGGAAAUGUUAAAAUUUUUUUCUGUUUUCCAUAACAUUGAUCUGCUACAGGCCAAUCAGUGAGAAUGUAUAUAGAAUUCCCAUACCCGUAAUCUGUUCACCACCACCACCAACUUUCGCCCGAAACCCUUACCCUACAUACACACUUAGAAAAAGAAACAAACAUUUCCCAAAUGGCAUAUGGUUCCUUUUGUUACUUGCACUUAACUAAUAAAUAUAUGAGACAUGAUCUGUGCUAUAUUUUUAGCUGAAAGGGGGAAUGGGUGGAAGAGUUAAGCAGGCUAUUUCAGUGUUUAAGAGAGAUGAUGGUGGCUUGGGCAGGAUGGUAGCAGAGGAGGUCAAGAUGGGAUCAGGCUGGGUGUGGUGGCUCUCACCUGUAAUCCCAGCACUUUGGGAGGCCCAGGUGGUGGCUCAUCUGAGGUUGGGAGUUUGAGACUAGCCUGACCAACAUGGGGAAACCCUGUCUCUACUAAAAAUACAAAAAUUAGGUGUGCAUUUCUGUAACGGGUGUGGUGGUGCAUGUCUGUAAUCCUAGGUACUUGGGAGGCUGAGGCAGGAGAAUCACUUGAACCUGGGAGGCAGAGGUUGCAGUGAGCUGAGAUCGCACCACUGCAUUCCAGCCUGGGCAACAGAGUGAGACUCCAUCUCAAAAAAAAAAAAGAAAAAAAAAAGAGAUGGGAUCAGACUCCAGAUACAUUUUGAAGGUAAAGGCAGCAUAUUUGCCUGCAGACUGGAUAUAGUGUGAGAAAGAAAGGUCAAGGGCAAGAUCCAGAAUGUCAACUGCAUAGCUGACUUCAGAAAAUAACCAGUUCAAAUCAGAGCAAAUGGAUGAAGAGGGCAUAGGUUUCCAGAUGAAAUGGGCAAAAUAUCUUUGUUUUGAAUACCUGAAAAUUAUAUUAGUAGGCGUAUAACAGAUUUAGUAGAGCAUAUUUAAAAAUUAAGAGUAGAUACAUAGAAAAUGAACCAAUAAACAAACCAGGCAAUUAUUAAUCUUAGGAAAAAAAUAUUAAAUAUAUAAUAAAAGGUAUAUAAGCACAGGUUUAUUUAGCUUUGCAGGGAACAAUAUUUUUAUAGUAUUAAUAACAUAAACACAGAGUAAUUGAUUUAGCAAAAUAUUGUGAUAGAACUCUACUGGAAGGAUGAGAGGAGGGGGAAAACUACAAAAAACUAAAUAAAUCCUUAUUUGCCAUAACAGGAAGUCAACAGAUAAAGUAUAAAAUUAUCAAAUCAAGAAAUAGGAUUAUGAACAUAUUAUUUAGAUGUGGAGGUAAAUAUAGAGGAUACUGCUAAAAAUAGUGAAAAAUGAUACCUUAUACGGUAAGGCUAAUUUUAACAUGAAUAAUUACAGUUAACUGGAACCUCAGAUAUUCUUUUUUUGUUUGUUUUUGUUUAAUUUUGUAUUUUUUUAUUAUACUUUAAGUUCUAGGGUACAUGGGCACAACGAGCAGGUUACAUAGGUAAACAUGUGCCAUGUUGGUUUGCUGCACCCAUUAAUUUGUCAUUUACAUUAGGUAUUUCUCCUAAUGCUAUCCCUCCCCCCUACCCCCACCCUGCGACAGGUCCUGGUGUGUGAUGUUCCCCAUCCUGUCUCCAAGUGUUCUCAUUGUUCAAUUCUCACCUAUGAGUGAGAACUUGCAGUGUUUGGUUUUCUGUCCUUGUGAUAGUUUGCUCAGAAUAAUGGUCUCCAGCUUCAUCCACGUCCCUGCAAAGGACAUAAACUCAUCCUUUUUAUGGCUGCAUAGUAUUCCAUGGUGUAUAUUUGUCACAUUUUCUUAAUCCAGUCUAUCACUGAUGGACAUCUGGGUUGCUUCCAAGUCUUUGCUAUUGUGAACAGUGCCUCAAUAAACAUACAUGUGCAUAUGUCUUUAGAGUGGCAUGAUUUAAAAUCCUUUGGGUAUAUACCCAGUAAUGGGAUCACUGGGUCAAAUGGUAUUUCUAGUUCUAGAUCCUUGAGGAAUCGCCACGCUGUCUUUCACAAUGGUUGAACUAGUUUACACUCCCACCAACACUGUAAAAGCAUUCCUAUUUCUCCACAUCCUCUCCAGCAUCUGUUGUUUCCUGACUUUUUAAUGAUCGCCAUUCUAACUGGUGUGAGACGGUAUCUCACUGUGGUUUUGAUUUGCAUUUCUCUGAUGACCAGUGAUGAUGAGCAUUUUUUUGUGUGUCUGUUGGCUGCAUAACUUUCUUCUUUUGGGAAGUGUCUAUUCAUAUCCUUUGCCCACUUUUUGAUGGAGUUGUUUUUUUCUUGUAAAUUUGUUUAAGU
rnacentral:lncRNA from 10 species